AUGCUUGAUAGACUAAGUAGGCCCAGGAUGCGAUAUCCUGCCGAGUCAGUUUCAGUUUGUUUCUUGUGUCUCUCUCAGCCAGUGUGAGUGUGUGUGAGCAGUGUUUUAGCAACCAUUUUCCUUCCCUAUUGUGCGUGGAUCCCGUCGAGUACGACGGAUGCGUAGGGGUGCUAAUACCUUCCCUUCGCAUAACCGACUCCCGAUCCCAUUCUCUUUGGUCGCGAGACCAUGUCUUUUCC
rnacentral:lncRNA from 1 species